AAGAGAAGGAAGAAGAAGAGAGGGUUUUGCGCCGCGGGACCUCGCCAAGCCGAUUCAACUUCGUAUCGCAACGCCCGGGUUACGAGAUCGUCGGUUCGAGUGAGCGUCGUUGUGUGAUUUUUGGGGAUUCCAGGUUCUUUGUUUAGCAGCCAAUAGAACGAGAGCGAUGUCAUUGGGACUCUUGGGUGAUUUGAGGCUGCGUCCUUUGGGCGAAAGGACGGCCGUGUCAUUCCCCAUCUUGGUAGGUUUCGGGGUGUGACA